CCCAGACUCCUACGGGAGGCAGCAGUGGGGGAUAUUGCACAAUGGGGGGAACCCUGAUGCAGCGACGCCGCGUGGGUGAAGAAGUAUUUCGGUAUGUAAAGCCCUAUCGGCAGGGAAGAAAUUGGACGGUACCUGACUAAGAAGCCCCGGCUAACUACGUGCCAGCAGCCGCGGUAAUACGUAGGGGGCAAGCGUUAUCCGGAUUCACUGGGUGUAAAGGGAGCGUAGACGGCCAUGCAAGCCUGGAGUGAAAGCCCGGGGCCCAACCCCGGGACUGCUCUGGGAACUGUGCGGCUGGAGUGCGGGAGGGGCAGGCGGAAUUCCUGGUGUAGCGGUGAAAUGCGUAGAUAUCAGGAGGAACACCGGCGGCGAAGGCGGCCUGCUGGACGAUGACUGACGUUGAGGCUCGAAAGCGUGGGGAGCAAACAGGAUUAGAUACCCCGGUACGG
rnacentral:rRNA from 1 species